UAUUGAAGUAAUCAAUCAAAAGUGGAAUUUCGUAGUCUUCAAUAAAUUCUUUUGCUUAAUUUAAUUUAAUGUUAAUGUUUUUUUAAUUUAUUUGGCACACAGCCUUAGCAAGGUUAUUAAAUUCCAUUAAGGAAUAAAUUCAAAUUAAUCAAGAUGAAUACUUUGUUAAUGAACAAACUUAUAAAUUACUGGAAGUCGUUUAGUCCGGAUUUUCUUCUUAGUUUAUGCAUUUUUAUAUUGUUUGUUUUAUGGAUAUACUGGUUGUUUUUUGUCCCUUUGGUAUGGAAAAAGGAUGUAGAUGACCUUAAUUUGACACUUUUGGGUACAUCUAUAAAUGUCUUUCGUUUAAAUUCUAAACGGAGUACAAUAAAUCGAUUGCAAAAAGUAAAAAAACAACACCCAAUGGAUAUGCCACCCCCUUAUCCUAACGGUUGGUAUGGAGUUCUCGAAUCGGCCAAACUAAAAGCAGGGGAAGCUACUUUUGUGUCAUGUUUAGGAGAAGAGUUAGUUAUCUUUCGCACUCAAAAACAUAAAGUUUUCAUUCUGGAUGCAUAUUGCCCCCAUUUAGGAGCCAACAUGGGUAUUGGUGGAAAAGUUAUAGACGAUUGUAUUGUAUGCCCAUUUCAUCAAUGGAGUUUUCGAGGCUCAGACGGAGAUUGCACAAAUAUU